rnacentral:rRNA from 1 species
CACGUAGGGUGCGAGCGUUGUCCGGAAUUAUUGGGCGUAAAGAGCUCGUAGGCGGCCUGUCGCGUCGGCUGUGAAAACUCAGGGCUCAACCCUGAGCCUGCAGUCGAUACGGGCAGGCUAGAGUCCGGCAGGGGAGACUGGAAUUCCUGGUGUAGCGGUGAAAUGCGCAGAUAUCAGGAGGAACACCGGUGGCGAAGGCGGGUCUCUGGGCCGGAACUGACGCUGAGGAGCGAAAGCGUGGGGAGCGAACAGG